UACGUAGGUGGCAAGCGUUGUCCGGAUUUACUGGGCGUAAAGAGCUCGUAGGCGGUCUGUCGCGUCGGCUGUGAAAACCCGGGGCUCAACCCCGGGCCUGCAGUCGAUACGGGCAGACUAGAGUGCGGUAGGGGAGACUGGAAUUCCUGGUGUAGCGGUGGAAUGCGCAGAUAUCAGGAGGAACACCGGUGGCGAAGGCGGGUCUCUGGGCAGUAACUGACGCUGAGGAGCGAAAGCGUGGGGAGCGAACAGG
rnacentral:rRNA from 1 species